rnacentral:rRNA from 1 species
AUUGAACGCUAGCGGCAUGCCUUACACAUGCAAGUCGAACGGAGUGGCGAACGGGUGAGUAAUGUAUCGGAACGUGCCCAGUAGCGGGGGAUAACUACGCGAACGCGUAGCUAAUACCGCAUACUAUUGGACCGGCCGAUAUCGGAUUAGCUAGUUGGUGGGGUAAAGGCUCACCAAGGCGACGAUCCGUAGCUGGUUUGAGAGGACGACCAGCCACACUGGGACUGAGACACGGCCCAGACUCCUACGGGAGGCAGCAGUGGGGAAUUUUGGACAAUGGGGGAAAGCCUGAUGCAGCCAUCCCGCGUGUGCGAUGAAGGCCUUCGGGUUGUAAAGCACUUUUGGCAGGGAAGCGGUACCUGCAGAAGAAGCACCGGCUAACUACGUGCCAGCAGCCGCGGUAAUUC